AUACGGAGGGUGCAAGCGUUAUUCGGAAUCACUGGGCGUAAAGGACGCGUAGGCGGGUUGGCAAGUCAGAUGUGAAGUCCUACAGCUUAACUGUAGAACUGCAUUUGAAACUGCUAACCUAGAGUAUGGGAGGGGGAGAUGGAAUUAGUGGUGUAGGGGUAAAAUCCGUAGAUAUCACUAGGAAUACCGAAAGCGAAGGCGAUCUCCUGGAACAUAACUGACGCUAAGGCGUGAAAGCGUGGGGAGCAAACAGGAUUAGAAACCCUAGUAGUCC
rnacentral:rRNA from 1 species